GAUCAUGGCUCAGAGUUUGAUCCUGGCUCAGGAUGAACGCUGGCGGCGUGCCUAACACAUGCAAGUCGAACGAAGCACCUUACCUGAUUCUUCGGAUGAAGGUCUGGUGACUGAGUGGCGGACGGGUGAGUAACGCGUGGGUAACCUGCCCUGUACAGGGGGAUAACAGCUGGAAACGGCUGCUAAUACCGCAUAAGCGCACGAGGAGACAUCUCCUUGUGUGAAAAACUCCGG
rnacentral:rRNA from 1 species